rnacentral:rRNA from 1 species
GUGGGGAAUAUUGCACAAUGGGCGAAAGCCUGAUGCAGCAACGCCGCGUGAGGGACGACGGCCUUCGGGUUGUAAACCUCUUUUAGUAGGGAAGAAGCGAAAGUGACGGUACCUGCAGAAAAAGCACCGGCUAACUACGUGCCAGCAGCCGCGGUAAUACGUAGGGUGCAAGCGUUAUCCGGAAUUAUUGGGCGUAAAGAGCUCGUAGGCGGUCUGUCGCGUCUGCUGUGAAAACUGGAGGCUCAACCUCCAGCCUGCAGUGGGUACGGGCAUACUAGAGUGCGGUAGGGGAGAUUGGAAUUCCUGGUGUAGCGGUGGAAUGCGCAGAUAUCAGGAGGAACACCGAUGGCGAAGGCAGAUCUCUGGGCCGUAACUGACGCUGAGGAGCGAAAGCGUGGGGAGCGAACAGGAUUAGAAACCCCAGUAGUCC